UACAUGUGGGGCAAGCGUUGUUCGGAAUUACUGGGCGUAAAGAGUGUGUAGGCGGUGCUCUAAGUUCGGUGUGAAAUCUCCCGGCUUAACUGGGAGGGUGCGCCGGAAACUGGAGUGCUCGAGCGUGGGAGAGGAAAGCGGAAUUCCUGGUGUAGCGGUGAAAUGCGUAGAUAUCAGGAGGAACACCUGCGGUGUAGACGGCUUUCUGGACCAUUGCUGACGCUGAGACACGAAAGCGUGGGUAGCAAACAGG
rnacentral:rRNA from 1 species